UUUUACCUUUAUAUCCUUUUCUUUUGUUUUUUUGUGAAUUGAUUUUUUGUUUUUGAUUUUUGAUUAUGCUUUCUUCAAGAAUGUUAACUCUGGAAACAGAAAGAGAGAGGACAAGAUGGCGGAGGAGUAGGAAGACACGCUCGCCCUCUCCCACAAACACAACAAAAAAAGCACAUCUACAGAAUAAAUGACUCACACAGAACAGCAACCAAUCGCUGGCAGAGGAACCUAAACUCCAAUAACGGCAAGAAAUUCGUGACAUUAUUGGGCAGAACAGGAGAAAAGAGGAGAGUGAGAGAAGGCGAAUCUGAGCAAGACGGGGGCUCCCGAAAGGGAACUGCGGAGGAGAAAGGGAUCCCGCACCCUGGAAAGUCACCUACUGGGCGAAAGAUCAAACGAACCGGAGGAAUCUCCAGAUGCAGAGAAGAGUGUAGCAGUAAGUUGGAGUACGGAAAAGCCGAUCAAGAACCCAACGGACCAUCUGAACUACGGGCAGAGUCACCAAAAAUUGAGACGCCUGGGUGGGGGCUGGGCACCGAGACCUCGCCGCUGAAGGUUAGUCCCCGAGAGGGGGCCGGGGGACGCCUGGGUGGGGGCUGGGCACCGAGACCUCGCCGCCGAAGGUUAAUCCCUGAGAAAGGGCCGGGGGACGCCUGGGAGGGGGGCUGGGCACCGAGACCUCGGCUCCAGAGAUUAGUCCCCGGGCUAGGGGGGCGGGGCAGAGCGGAAACUGCUUGGGAGGUCUAGAAACCAGUUGACGGGGCAGAGACUGCCUGGGAGACUAGAAAACAAAGCUGUCGCAGAGGAAGGGAGCAAUACUCCAGGAGUGGGGAAGGGGAAAGCCACAUCAGAGGGAACCUGGGAGAAGAGCCUGGUCUGCGCCCGUGCUGGGGAGGGGAGAGAAGAAGGGGUGGGUCCCCAUAGAAUACCCCCCACGCCACAGCAAGCUUACAGGCCCGCUAGCUAGCUGAAAACUCUGCUUCCCAGUGCAUCCCCUCCCCCCACCCCCGCCACGCCCUACGCUCUCACGGACCUGGGGCUGCCUGCCAUCCAGGAGGGCUGGCCUCAACAAUUGCCUGAAGCCUACCACCGCAGGGGCUGUCCCUGCACAGGCCUGCUUGCCCUUUGGAGGGGCUACACUUCCGCAGAGCAGCACCAAACAGCACCAGCCCCCGAGAAAAGGCCUGCAGCCUAGAAAAGCUAGAACAAGCUUAGCCAGGCUGUGAAUAGAUCGGCCUAAUUCUCGGACGGUUUUUCUGAGUCGGGUUGCCCCGGGGAGGAGCCUCUUCGGUUUCCAACGGCCCUGCUACCCGCCCAAGCCCCCAGGGGAUGCUCUAGUGGACCAGCUGCAUAGGACUGCCAGCUCCAGGCAGGACCCCCUGCAGCCCAGAAAAGCUGCAACAAGCUCAGCCAGACUGUGAAAAGAUCCGCCUACAUUCUCAGGCUGUCCUUCUGAGUUGGGCUGCCCUAGGGAAGAGCCUCUCAGGUUCUCAGUGCCCCAGAGAGCUGCUCCAGCCCCCAGGGGGUGAUGCACCCCAAAAAAGCAGCUGCCCAUCACCGCCAACCACCUGCAA
rnacentral:lncRNA from 1 species